rnacentral:lncRNA from 1 species
GGAAGAUCCAACCGUCCCUUCCUGGUCUCCUGAACCAGUGAACCCCCAACACUUCUCCGGGUUUCAAGGACCGGUGGGUGUGCUGGUGAAUUCUGGGCAUCCCCCCAUUCCCCGUAAGACAAAGUUUAGGGUAACCGAUUGCUGCUCCCUGUUUGCUCGUCCGACCUCUCCAGCCCACCUCCCACCCCCCACCCCCUCAACCCCCAUGGCUGGGGAAGCCGAGACGCCCCUUUCGGAUCUGGUAACCUCACUCGGGAGGUCACGGGUCAUCUCCCUCGGGCGGGUAGGAGCGAGAAUGCGGUUUCUCCGCCAGCUGCGCGCUCUGCUUCGGCGGCGGCAGAAACACACGGUGCAUGACCACAGGAGUCCCAAAGGCCAACCCUGCUCCUGAAAAGAAAUGGUUUCCGUAGCCCGGCACGCCCGCCCCGUGGAGCUCAGCAACAGGGGUCCUGCCCAAGCUCGCCUAGGACUCCCGGUGCACCGGCCUCGCCUUGCCUCUCUGUGACUCUUACUGGGAGGAGCUAAAUUGCAAUCGACUCCGGUGGUGCUUUUCGGAGGAAAGUCUUUCCUACUGUAAACGUGGCUCGGGCGACGCUCGCAGCGGCGUUUCACCACUGCCUUCUGAGGAGGUUUACGGUCAGGAAUGGGCUGGUGACGCCCCCCGCCCCCCCCACCUAUUCCAGUUCCCGGGCCUCCUUGCAAGUGGCAGCUGGAGCAGCCACUCCAGGAGGGGGGAUCUCGCCCAGUCCCUCCCCCUACGCACCCCUCCCCCGAUUCCAGCCUGGACCUAGCCGCUGGGGCCCAGUUCCGCCACUGACCGGAACCGACAGCCAUUUGGUUCCCUGGGUGCACUCGGGUGCCCAGCAGCCCCUUACCCUCUGUGAGCCUCUCCUGGACUAAAUAGCGUGCCAUCUGCAUCGGUCUGGGACUCACGCUUCAGCUCUCACUGUGACUGCGGGAGGGGCAGUGCACGCACAGCGGCCAGGGCUUCUUCCCAGGGGCAGAACGAAGGAACCAGAUAGUUCCCCACCUCCAGGCUCUAGCCUGAUCAGGAAGAUUGAGGUGUUUGUGUGUCCACAGAGGACCUCGAAGGCGCCCCAAAGCCCUUGCCGAGGGCGACGGGGGGAGGGUGGAUAAAGGAAAGGCUGAGCGCACUUUCCUCCUUGCAGCCCCCACCCCGCAAACGGUACUCGGAAUCGGAAUAGAGCAUCCUCUUCCCAGCCCAGCACCCCCAAACCAUCUCUCAGUGGAUUCCUUGUCCUCGAGACCACAGACACGUAAAAGCAAUUACAGUUUGGAGUCCCAGGAGGCAAGCAAAUGAUUACGAUUAUGGAAAAAAAAAAAGCCGCCUAGAGUUCCCCAAAUAUUAGGGAACGAGGAGAGCCACCUUGAAGGCUAAGAGACGGGCGGGGACCAAGGGCAUCCCGCUGGAGAGUGGUCCAUGUAAGCCACGAAGUGUCAGAAAAGAGAAUAGGGAGGGGAGCAAGUGCGAAGGCGUGUGUGCUGCUGCAGAGGGGCGAGCAGGCGAUUGGGGUGGCUGCCAAGUGAUGGGAGUCAGAGGAGGGGAGGAACGUGCUCGCCACGAGCAGCUGGCCCGGUGGCGGGUUCUGCCUGGCACUAGGGUUCCUUUUUUCCCAGCCUUUCACCUUCGGCUAACCGCGCGUGCGGACAGCACCGAGACACACAUUGCGCUGGGGGCGCUCGCGGGCAUAGGAUGGGUGGGGUGCGGCAAGGACCAAAGAGCCCUGUGCCUCACACAGCGCAGGGCGCGCUGCACACCUGGCACCGGAGACUCACCAUCUGUUCAGAGCUGCCUCCUGGGCCCAGGGGUGUGGCCAGGAAAGAUAAGAGUACCCGUGGCAGCGACGACUCCACACCAACUGCCACUUCAACUGCCAAUCAACGUAGUGAGUGCCCUACUGUGUGUCCCCCGCUCAGCUUAAGAGCCUUCGGUUGCAGUUCUCAGGAACUGCAAGCUACCAGAAAACCUUGUAUAUGCUGUAAAAUAAAUUCAUACUGAACUG